CCUACGGGAGGCAGCAGUGAGGAAUAUUGGUCAAUGGGCGGGAGCCUGAACCAGCCAAGCCGCGUGAGGGAAGAAGGUACAGCGUAUCGUAAACCUCUUUUGUCAGGGAACAAAGGCGGGGACUAGUCCCCGGAUGAGGGUACCUGAAGAAAAAGCAUCGGCUAACUCCGUGCCAGCAGCCGCGGUAAUACGGAGGAUGCGAGCGUUAUCCGGAUUUAUUGGGUUUAAAGGGUGCGCAGGCGGCCUGUUAAGUCAGCGGUAAAAGCCCGGGGCUCAACCCCGGACUGCCGUCGGAACUGGGUGCCUUGAGUGGGCGAGAAGUAUGCGGAAUGCGUGGUGUAGCGGUGAAAUGCAUAGAUAUCACGCAGAACCCCGAUUGCGAAGGCAGCAUACCGGCGCCCUACUGACGCUGAGGCACGAAAGUGCGGGUAUCGAACAGGAUUAGAUACCCCAGUAGUC
rnacentral:rRNA from 1 species